CCCCAAAGAGAUCGAAACCGCCGAGAAGGUUCCCGACUUUGUCGACACCUUCUACAAUUUAGUCACCGACAUCUACGAGUGGGGAUGGGGCCAGUCCUUCCACUUCUCCCCUUCCCUCCCUGGAAAGUCCCACCGUGACGCCACGCGCCUCCACGAGGAGAUGGCCGUCGAUCUCAUCGACGUCAAACCCGGAGAUCGAAUUCUGGACGUCGGAUGCGGUGUUGGUGGUCCCAUGCGAGCCAUCGCAGCUCACUCUCGUGCCAAUGUGGUCGGGAUCACGAUCAACGAGUACCAGGUGAAACGCGCGCGUCUGCACAACAAGAAGGCCGGCCUCGACUCUCUGUGCGAGGUGGUGUGUGGGAAUUUCCUGGAGAUGCCGUUCCCCGAGAACAGCUUCGACGGCGCGUACUCGAUCGAGGCGACGUGCCACGCGCCGAAGCUGGAGGAGGUGUACGCCGAGAUCUUUAGGGUUUUGAAGCCGGGAUCUCUGUACGUGUCGUACGAGUGGGUGACGACAGACAAGUACAUGGGGGACGACGCGGAACACGUGGAGGUCAUUCAGGGGAUUGAGAGAGGGGAC
rnacentral:lncRNA from 1 species